UGAGCGGCAACAGCUCAAAUAAGGUGAACCUGCGUGAAGGAUCAUUA
rnacentral:rRNA from 1 species